CAAUUCGCUGCAAUCUGUAACUCCUCGCAACUCCAGCACAAAGGAGGCAGCUGCAAGCUAAUGCUGGGGUAAAUAGAAGGAAAGAGAAGGGGACGACUAGCAGCAAGGUGGAUGGACUCAGUUACAACGGUGAUGGGUGCACCCUUGGAAGACCUGAAAUUCUAGAGCUCUCCGAUUGCCUUGAUGCUGGCCCUGACUCCCACUCCGCCUCCUCAUCGGAUUCGGCUGCUGGAGAGGCCGGUGGCCGACAGCUCCACAACAACCAAAAGUUGGGGGCCCUGAUCUAAAGUAAUGUUUCGUCUCCAUGAAUUGCCUUCUCUUUUAUAAAAAAACAACUUUUCUAAGCAAACGUGGUACAAUUUUCAGCAGGAGCACCUGCUUCAGGAGAAAACCGAGGCAUCCCAGGAC